GGUGGGAUGGCCGAGUGGUUAUGGCGCUGCGUUCAGGUAAACCUGAGUAUAUUAGUCUUGUCUCUUGUAGCCUCUCAUGACUCCAUAAGGAUGAAGCAGAAAAUAUCGCAGUGGAGCAAUCCGCGUGGGUUCGAGUCCCACUCCCAUCA